AGGAUUCCCCUAGUAACUGCGAGUGAAGCGGGAAGAGCUCAAAUUUGAAUCUGGCGGUCUUUGGCCAUCCGAGUUGUAAUCUGGAGAAGCGUUUUCCGCGCUGGACCGUGUACAAGUCCCUUGGAACGGGGCGUCAUAGAGGGUGAGAAUCCCGUCUUUGACACGGACUACCGAUGCUUUGUGAUGCGCUCUCAAAGAGUCGAGUUGUUUGGGAAUGCAGCUCAAAACGGGUGGUAAAUUCCAUCUAAAGCUAAAUAUUGGCGAAAGACCGAUAGCGAACAAGUACCGUGAGGGAAAGAUGAAAAGAACUUUGGAAAGAGAGUUAAACAGUACGUGAAAUUGUUGAAAGGGAAACGCUUGAAGUCAGUCGCGUCUGCCGGGRMUCAACCUUGCUUYUKCAUGSHGCAUUUCCCGGGG
rnacentral:rRNA from 1 species